rnacentral:lncRNA from 1 species
UCUGCCAACUAUUUUCUUAAAAUUCUUUCAAAUCAACAUGUUGCUUAUGGUUGACAAGAAUUUCGUCAUCUAAUAUACAAUUUGUAAUCACCAUCAUGGUUGAAUUGCAUUGCUUCCUUCUGCACCCUCUUGCCAUGUAUUGCUACUAUAUUAUGUGCCAUUACUUGCUUAAUACUUUUGCACUUAAAGGCAUUGCAUCACAAAAGAAAAAUUAACUUACUAGCCCAUUUAAGCAUUACUUGGUGAUCAACCAAAUGUAGUUGGUCUGCUUUCUUUAGAUCUAAACCAUUAUCUCCCCUUUUGUAACUCUAGUUUUCACCAAAUGUUGCUUCAAAAUUUGCCAAUAUGUCACAACAAUUGUAGGUGUACACUAUUUAACAUACAAUAUGAAUAAAUUACUUAGUUAUGCACCUACCAUGAAGUUCCAAACAUUAAGGAGUCUUGUAAAACAAAUCACCAAGAUGUACUAGUAAAUAGAUGAACUCCAUAUUUCAAGAAAUUAUAGCAACCAAUG